UGUAAGCGUAUACCAAAGUUGUUGCAGUUAAAACGCUCGUAGUCGGAAUUUGGCAGUUCCGGAAGAGUGCACGUCGUGUGCGCACUUUGCGGGGACUGCUUUUGUGGUCUUGCGUAGGAUGAGGCACUUUCAUUAGUGAACGUCCUCACGCAACCACUCUUUACUGUGAGAAAAUCAGAGUGCUCAAAGCAGGCAUUUGCCGUGAAUGUAUUAGCAUGGAAUAAUAGAAUAGGACUCGGUUCUAUUUUGUUGGUUUGUUGGGACUGAGUAAUGAUUAAGAGGGACAGUUGGGGGCAUUUGUAUUCCGGCGCUAGAGGUGAAAUUCUUAGAUUGCCGGAAGACAAACUGCUGCGAAAGCGUCUGCCAAGGAUGUUUUCAUUGA
rnacentral:rRNA from 1 species